rnacentral:tRNA from 1 species
GGAGAAAUACCCAAGAGGCUGAAGGGGUCGGUCUCGAACACCGAUAGGAGCGUGAGCUCGCGAGGGUUCAAAUCCCUCUUUCUUCGCCA